rnacentral:rRNA from 1 species
UACGGAGGGCGCAAGCGUUGUUCGGAAUCACUGGGCGUAAAGCGCGUGUAGGCGGUUCGGCAAGUCGGAUGUGAAAGCCCGAGGCUCAACCUAUGAACUGCAGCCGAAACUGCCGGGCUCGAGGUCCGGAGAGGGUGGCGGAAUUUCAGGUGUAGAGGUGAAAUUCGUAGAUAUUGGAAGGAACACCAGAGGCGAAGGCGGCCACCUGGACGGUGACUGACGCUGAGACGCGAAAGCGUGGGGAGCAAACAGG